UUCGGGGCUAUUUUACAAACAUGGUGUAAUGAACGUCAUAUAUCAUAACAAAACAAAACUUUCAACAACGGAUCUCUUGGCUCUCGCAUCGAUGAAGAACGCAGCGAAAUGCGAUAAGUAAUGUGAAUUGCAGAAUUCAGUGAAUCAUCGAAUCUUUGAACGCACCUUGCGCCCUCUGGUAUUCCGGAGGGCAUGCCUGUUUGAGUGUCAUGUAGACUCAAUCCCUCGGGUUUCCGAGGAGAUUGGACUUGGGUGUUGCCGCUCUGCCGGCUCGCCUUAAAAGACUUAGCGGGAUAGCACCGUAGUCGGCGUAAUAAGUUUCGUCGGUGAAGGUUGUGAUAACUGCUUACAAUCGCCCUUGGACAAUUUUUGACUCUGACCUCAAAUCAGGUAGGACUACCCGCUGAACUUAAGCAUAUCAAUAAGCGGAGGAAAAGAAACUAACAAGGAUUCCCUUAGUAGCGGCGAGCGAAGCGGGAAGAGCUCAAAUUUGAAAGCUGGCGUCCUUC
rnacentral:rRNA from 1 species